CGCUCUAGCUGAGAGAAGGAUGGUAACUCUGAGAGUCCCACGCCGCAGACCCUUCUCUGGCUGUGAUGUGCUGUUGUGUUUGGAACAAGUCUCUGUUUAGUCUGUCAGUAGCAGUACCCCAGCUUCCUGCUUGGGAAAGAGCAGCAGCCUAUUAUAAUCAUACUCAGCAUGACGGCACUGGCCAGAUGCGAACGCAGAACCCACAAAGUCUACAUCAAGUGCUGCUGUACCUGAUGCUGGAGAAUUCCCUCUUGAACACAGAGAAGCACUCAAUAUAACAGUCCCUUGAGAAUCCCAGAAACCAAACGGGAACCAACAAACAGAAGAUUUCACUCUGCACCUGAUCAAUAUUACUCCAAUAUCCGGUCAGGAGAUGCAGGUGCAGAGUGAAAACCAUCAGCACAUAUCAAAUUGGCUGCAAGAAGCUGCAUAUCCUUAGGAGUCUCUCUUCCAACAACUAUAGAUCUCAUUCAAGUCAAGUUAGGGCAGCAGACACUCCUACCA